UGCUCGACCGUGAAAACUACUCCACUCUACGAGGGUACUAAAUCACCUAAUAACUUAAAAGACUCUGGACCCUUGCACUCUUCUCCAUACCCACCUCCUACAGAUUCUAAGAAACUUAUUCUCCUGCUCCACCCAUUAUCUACUUGCUCGACUGUGAAAACUACUCCACUCUAUGAGGGUACUAAAUCACCUAAUAACUUAAAAGACUCUGGACCCUUGCACUCUUCUCCAUACCCACCUCCUACAGAUUCUAAGAAACUUAUUCUCCUGCUCCACCCAUUAUCUACUUGCUCGACUGUGAAAACUACUCCACUCUACGAGGGUACUAAAUCACCUAAUAACUUAAAAGACUCUGGACCCUUGCACUCUUCUCCAUACCCACCUCCUACAGAUUCUAAGAAAGUAUGUCUACACAAUUUGAUUGUAUUUUUGACCUGUUGUAGCCGGUGUAUUUCUGUU